rnacentral:rRNA from 1 species
ACGGAGGGUGCGAGCGUUAAUCGGAAUUACUGGGCGUAAAGCGCGCGUAGGCGGCUUUGUAAGUCAGGGGUGAAAGCCCACGGCUCAACCGUGGCAUUGCCUUUGAUACUGCAGAGCUUGAGUUCGGGAGAGGGUGGUGGAAUUCCAGGUGGACGAGUGAAAGGCGUAGAGAUCUGGAGGAAGAGCAGAGGCGAAGGCGACCACCUGGCCCGAUACUGACGCUGAGCUGCGAAAGUGUGGGUAGCAAACAG